rnacentral:rRNA from 1 species
AGAUUGAACGCUGGCGGCAUGCCUUACACAUGCAAGUCGAACGCGAAAGUAGGGGGGCAACCCCUGCGAGUAGAGUGGCGAACGGGUGAGUAAUACAUCGGAACGUGUCCAGUAGCGGGGGAUAACUUCUCGAAAGAGAAGCUAAUACCGCAUACGACCUACGGGUGGAAAGGGGGGGAUUCGCAAGAACCUCUCACUAUUGGAGCGGCCGAUGUCGGAUUAGCUAGUUGG